rnacentral:rRNA from 1 species
GCCAACAUCCAUACCACGUUGAAAGUACCAGUUCUCGUCUGAUCACUGAAGUCAAGCAACGUUGGGCACGGUUAGUACUUGGAUGGGUGACCGCUUGGGAACACCGUGUGACGUUGGCACGC